rnacentral:rRNA from 1 species
GAUGAACGCUGGCGGCGUGCCUAAUACAUGCAAGUCGAGCGAACGGACGAGAAGCUUGCUUCUCUGAUGUUAGCGGCGGACGGGUGAGUAACACGUAGAUAACCUACCUAUAAGACUGGGAUAACUUCGGGAAACCGGAGCUAAUACCGGUAAAUAUUUUGAACCGCAUGGUUCAAAAGUGAAAGACGGUCUUGCUGUCACUUAUAGAUGGAUCCGCGCUGCAUUAGCUAGUUGGUAAGGUAACGGCUUACCGAGGCAACGAUGCAUAGCCGACCUGAGAGGGUGAUCGGCCACACUGGAACUGAGCCACGGUCCAGAAUCCUACGGGAGGCAGCAGUAGGGAAUCUUCCGCAGGGGCGAAAGCCUGACGGAGCAACGCCGCGUGAGUGAUGAAGGUCUUCGGAUCGUAAAACUCUGUUAUUAGGGAAGAACAUAUGUGUAAGUAACUGUGCACAUCUUGACGGUACCUAAUCAGAAAGCCACGGCUAACUACGUG